rnacentral:misc_RNA from 1 species
UUGGCUCAGGGUCGGUUAAACAUCCAUCAGGUUUUUGCCUGCAUUGGGCUGUCAGCUUUAUGCUGCAGCUUUAAGGUGUGCUUUGUGGAGUGCCUGAAUCGCGACUCUUAGGAUUGAGUUCCUGGGUCCUUCUCAAGCGCCAUGAGGUACGGCAUGGGAUACAACUUAAURUCCCAUAGGUGCCAAUUCAACCU